CCUACGGGUGGCAGCAGUGGGGAAUAUUGGGCAAUGGGCGCAAGCCUGACCCAGCAACGCCGCGUGAAGGAAGAAGGCUUUCGGGUUGUAAACUUCUUUUGACAGGGAAGAGUAGAAGACGGUACCUGUCGAAUAAGCCACGGCUAACUACGUGCCAGCAGCCGCGGUAAUACGUAGGUGGCAAGCGUUGUCCGGAUUUACUGGGUGUAAAGGGCGUGUAGCCGGGUUGACAAGUCAGAUGUGAAAUCCUGCGGCUUAACCGCAGAACUGCAUUUGAAAAUGUUGAUCUUGAGUACCGGAGAGGUCAUCGGAAUUCCUGGUGUAGCGGUGAAAUGCGUAGAUAUAAGGAAGAACACCAGUGGCGAAGGCGGCUUACUGGACUGUAACUGACGUUGAGGCUCGAAAGCGUGGGGAGCAAACAGGAUUAGAUACCCUAGUAGUC
rnacentral:rRNA from 1 species